rnacentral:rRNA from 1 species
UACGGAGGGUGCGAGCGUUAUCCGGAUUCACUGGGUUUAAAGGGCGCGUAGGCGGCCGCCUAAGUCAGACGUGAAAUCCCAAGGCUCAACCUUGGAACUGCGUCUGAUACUGGGUGGCUUGAGUCCGGGAGAGGGAUGCGGAAUUCCAGGUGUAGCGGUGAAAUGCGUAGAUAUCUGGAGGAACACCGGUGGCGAAGGCGGCAUCCUGGACCGGAACUGACGCUGAGGCGCGAAAGCUAGGGGAGCAAACGGG